rnacentral:rRNA from 1 species
GUAGUCCACGCCGUAAACGAUGGAUGCUAGCUGUUGGGCGUAUCGACCCGCUCGGUAGCGAAGCUAACGCGUUAAGCAUCCCGCCUGGGGAGUACGAGCGCAAGCUUAAAACUCAAAGGAAUUGACGGGGACCCGCACAAGCGGUGGAGCGUGUGGUUUAAUUCGAUGAUACGCGAAGAACCUUACCAAGACUUGACAUCCCAAUCGUAUUUCGCCGAAAAGCGAGAGUCAGUUCGGCUGGAUUGGUGACAGGUGAUGCAUGGCCGUCGUCAGCUCGUGUCGUGAGAUGUAGGGUUAAG